CCAUAAUAUGGAGAGAGCACAGGUGUUGAGGGCUGCUAGCUGCAGCUUGAAGAAAACACCUCUCAUUUUCUUCACCAAAACAAAGAACCAGGAUGAAAUGGCACUAAACAAACUCUUCCCAACAAUUUCCACAGUCCGUAAAGAAGAAAGAGGUCUCUCAUUCCAGUUCUCCAUCAUCCUGGAAUGCCACCCUGACAUUUAUUGGCCAUUUAAGCAGCUGGAUUGACUGGAGAGAUUAGCCAUUAGCAGCCUCUGGAUAUUGCAGCGUCAGCACCAGUAAGG